AUGUUGACCGGAAACAACGAUAUGAAGCCGCCGAUUCCUAAACGACCCCGGCGGAUGGCUAUGUCGCCGGAAUCAGCACCUUUAGCCUCCGGCAGUAGCAGCUUCAUCCCAGAUGAUAUAAUCUUCUUUCAGAUACUCGUACUUCUUCCUGUGAAGUCCCUUGUGCGCUUCCAAACCGUCUGCAAGUCAUGGCGCACCACAUUAACCAGCAUCAGUUUCGUGCGCUGGCACCUGGAGCUUUCCAAGCGAACAAGGUCGACCAUGGUCCUCGUGCCACGCAAGUAUCAGGAGGACCGACGGAAGGCGUGUUCUAGAUUACUCAGUAUCUUCAGCUUCCAGCCAGGGGAAAGCAAGUGUGCGGAGCUUAUCUUCCGAAAGGAAUUUCAUCCCUAUGGGAUCCCUGUGUUCAGCAUUCCUCUCCAUUGUGAUGGCCUGAUAUUGAUCCCUUGCAUAAUGGGGAAAAUUUUCAUCUGCAACCCGGCCACUAGAGAGUUUGUUGAGUUGCCACCUGGAAGCCCAAGUGUUCUCUUUGAGCACAGGGUCGCCUUUGGCUUUGAUCCUUGGAGUGGUACCUACAAGGUGGCGAGGCACUUCAUCCGCUCGUACAGAGAUACUCUGCAAAUAGAUGGGGAAGGAGGCACCACUAGAGAAUACAGCAGUGGACAUGAGAUCUUAACAUUCGGUGGUGACAGCAAAGAAGAAGCUUGGGUAUGGAAGGCCACUGUGGAUCCACCAUACCCUAUCAAGGCCAGGACUCCAAUUUGUCUCCCAGGGGUCUUCUUUUGGAGUGCUCUCAAGUCCAUGGCACAUGGCAAGGCAAGAAUGAUGCACUAUCUGCACUAG
rnacentral:rRNA from 1 species